rnacentral:rRNA from 1 species
UACGUAGGUGGCUAGCGUUGCUCGGAAUCACUGGGCGUAAAGGGUGCGUAGGCGGGCCUUUAAGUCAGGGGUGAAAUCCUGGAGCUCAACUCCAGAACUGCCUUUGAUACUGAAGAUCUUGAGUUCGGGAGAGGUGAGUGGAACUGCGAGUGUAGAGGUGAAAUUCGUAGAUAUUCGCAAGAACACCAGUGGCGAAGGCGGCUCACUGGCCCGAUACUGACGCUGAGGCACGAAAGCGUGGGGAGCAAACAGG